UACGUAAGGUCCGAGCGUUGUCCGGAAUCAUUGGGCGUAAAGGGUACGUAGGCGGAUAAUCAAGUUAGAAGUGAAAUCCUAUAGCUCAACUAUAGUAAGCUUUUAAAACUGCUCAUCUUGAGGUAUGGAAGGGAAAGUGGAAUUCCUAGUGUAGCGGUGAAAUGCGUAGAGAUUAGGAGGAAUACCGGUGGCGAAGGCGACUUUCUGGCCAUAAACUGACGCUGAGGGACGAAAGCGAGGGGAGCAAAUGGG
rnacentral:rRNA from 1 species